rnacentral:rRNA from 1 species
CGGAUUGUAGUCUGCAACCCGACUACAUGAAGCCGGAAUCGCUAGUAAUCGCGGAUCAGAAUGCCGCGGUGAAUACGUUCCCGGGUCUUGUACACACCGCCCGUCACACCAUGGGAGUCGGAAAUGCCCGAAGCCGGUGACCCAACCCGAAAGGGAGGGAGCCGUCGAAGGCAGGUCGGAUGACUGGGGUGAAGUCGUAACAAGGUACC